GACGAACGCUGGCGGCGUGCUUAACACAUGCAAGUCGAACGGAAAGGCCCUGCCUUGGUGGGCUGCUCGAGUGGCGAACGGGUGAGUAACACGUGAGUAACCUGCCCUUGACUUGGGGAUAACUUCUGGAAACUGGGGCUAAUACCGGAUAGGAGCACCUGUUGCAUGGUGGGUGUUGGAAAGUUUCGGCGGUUGGGGAUGGACUCGCGGCUUAUCAGCUUGUUGGUGGGGUAGUGGUUUAGCAAGGCGUUGACGGGUAGCCGGCCUGAGAGGGUGACCGGCCACAUUGGGACUGAGAUACGGCCCAGACUCCUACGGGAGGCAGCAGUGGGGAAUAUUGCACAAUGGGCGGAGGCCUUAUGCAGCAACGCCGCGUGCGGGAUGACGGCCUUCGGGUUGUAAACCGCUUUCGCCUGUGACGAAGCGUGAGUGACGGUAAUGGGUAAAGAAGCAACGGCUAACUACGUG
rnacentral:rRNA from 1 species